ensembl:lncRNA
AUGCAACAUAACGACACUAUGAAUAGUGAAUAUGAUUAUAGUUGUAAAAAUGCUUGUACACCAUAUUCGGUUACAGCUACUGGUACUACUGAUACAACUGUUACUACUGAUACAACUGUUACUACUGAUAUAACUGCUACAAUUGCUACUACUACUAAUAAUAAUGAAAAUAAGUAUAUACGUAAAUCUGGGCGAAAGUCUAUAAAUACACAGACAAAAAAGUAUGCAGAUUAUGUAGAAAAACCUUAUGUAUUAAAAAAUAAUCGAAUGACUAAUAAAAGAAAAAAAAGGAAAAAUAUUAUCAAUGAUAAAGGAAAAACUAUUACAAGUGAUAAAGGAAAAACUAUUACAAGUGAUAAAAGGAAAACUCUUAUGAGUGAUAUAUACAAAAAAACUUAUGUAAAAAGUUAUGUAAAAAAUUAUGUAAACAAAUAUGUAAAAAAAUAUAAAGAUUAUAAUAAAAUUAAUAAAUACGGAAAAUCUAUUAAUUUUAGAUUUACUAAUUUGUUAGAUUUUCAGAAUAAAAAUUCAUAUGAUAUUGAUUUAUUUACUUAUUUUAACGAUAUAAUUGAUAAACAAAAAAAUGGAUCUGAUAAUAUAUUUUUAGAAUUUUUAUUAAAAGAGUUAGAAGAAUUGAUAGAGAAUUCACAUCCAAUGAGAAGUGAUGAUGUAAUAGAUAAAGGUGACAUAAGUAAUACGACUAAUAGUAUGGGUAAUAAUAUAGACGGCAGUUAUAACUGUGAUAGUAACAUAAAUAAUAAACACAAUUAUUCUAAAAUAACAAAUGAAAUGAAUAAUAAAAUAAACAUAAAAAAAGAGAUAGACUUAGAAUAUAUCAAUAAUUUUGAUAAAAAUGAUUUAAAAAAUAUUUUUUUUUUGGAACCAAUAAAUAUAAAUUUUACCAAUCAAGAACUAAUUGUUUUUCCAUUUAAAAGUAAAAAUGUUAUUGAAUAUGGAGAUACUAAUAUAAGUGAGAAAAAAAAAAAGUCUAUUAACGAGUGUUUUGUGGAGAACAGCAGUAAAAAUGAUAAUAGUGGUGGUGGUGGUGAUGGAGAUGGUGGUGGUAAUGGUGGUGGUAAUGGUGGUGGUAAUGGUGGUGGUAAUGGUGAUGGUGAUACAGAUGGUGAUACAGAUGGUGAUACAGAUGGUGAUACAUAUGGAGAUGAUGAAAAGAUACAUAAUAACAUAAGCGCGUACGACGAUACAAACACACAUAACGAAUUUAAAAAUGUUAAAAUACGUUUAUAUAAGAACAAUUAUCAGGUUUUAAGUUAUAUUAACAUUAACAAUGUGAAUUUAUCUAUUACCAAAGAUGUGAUAGGUUUUUUAUAUUUUUUACUUUUAUGUAAAAAUCUAUAUAGUAACUAUUCGGAAGAAAAUUAUAAUGAAAUAAUAUUAAAACAUAAAGAUAACAAUGAUAAAAAAAAUACUCAAAGGAGAGAAGGAAAAAAUAAUAUUGAACAGAGUGACAAUGAAACAAAUAAACAAACUGACAAAAACAAGUUUAUCAGCUUAAAUAUGCAAAACAUUUUAAAUAAAAUGAAUAAAGAUAUAUCAAAAGAAUUAAAUAAAAGUAAUAUAUUUUUAAAUCUUUGCGCCCCAAUAAUUUAUUUGGAUUUUAGUGAUAGUAUAAAUAUAGUCAGUUUUUUUUUUUUUUUUUAA